AGUCCAAGAGACCCGUGCUCAGCUCAGGAGCAAGCCAGCUGUGCCCCUCAGGAGGACCGCAGCAUCCCCACCGCCAACACUCACCGGUGUACCCCCGAGAAAGAGAGCCAGUCUCCAAAGCCAGGCUGCGCCCCAAGCCCCCCUGAGAAGGGCCACCCAGCCCAGAAACCAUGCUCCCUGGCCAGCAGCCCCCUUCAGGACGUGUGGAACAUUCUGGACCUGGGCUCCAGCCCCUCGGACCUUGCCUCUCUGCAUGACUCUGCUCCAGAGUUGGUGCCAGCAGCAGGGCCCACCAGGACCCCCUCCCACAGCAGUCAGCCUGCCUUCGCACUCCAGGGCGUGAAGAUAGACCCACAGGCCAAGGCCAGGCCUCCCAGGACCCUCCGGCCCAGACUUCGUCCUCAGAGCCUCCUGCCGCCCCCCAAGAUCCGCAACUACAACUUCAAGGACUGACUCCCUGCAGCCGCGCCUGCCCACCCGGCCCCUCAGUGCUCCAACCUGUGCUUCGCUCUCACGCUGGUGUGUGCU